UACGUAGGGUGCUAGCGUUGUCCGGAUUUAUUGGGCGUAAAGAGCGUGUAGGCGGCCAUACAGGUCAGCUGUGAAAACUCGAGGCUCAACCUCGAGACGUCGGUUGAAACCGUAUGGCUAGAGUCCGGAAGAGGAGAGUGGAAUUCCCGGUGUAGCGGUGAAAUGCGCAGAUAUCGGGAAGAACACCUAUGGCGAAGGCAGCUCUCUGGGACGGUACUGACGCUGAGACGCGAAAGCGUGGGGAGCGAACAGG
rnacentral:rRNA from 1 species